GGAAUAAUUCAUAAUCAUCUUCUUGAAAUUGACAUGGGAUAAUUUAGAAAUGUGAUAGCAGGUUCUAAUUCCAAUGCAUCAACCAUGUGAAUCUUCAUGACACAUUAAUAUUCAAAUUAUAACUUCCCAACAAUUACCAAUAUAAUGAUAAGCCCAUAAAUUUUAAUAGAUAAUUACAUAAGUUUGAAAAUCAUCAAAUUCACCACAAAUUUUCCAAAACCAUGGUAGUUAUCAUCAAAUGAGCAAAUGCAUUGCAAAGGAAUGGCAGGUCCAACCUUGUCACAUAUUCAACACUUGGAUCAGUAUUGAUAAAAUAUAAAUAAAUUUAAAAAA
rnacentral:misc_RNA from 1 species